rnacentral:rRNA from 1 species
UGUUUGAUCCCGGCUUAGAACUAACGCUGGCAGUGCGUCUUAAGCAUGCAAGUCAGACGGAAUGUAGUAAUACAUUCAGUGGCGAACGGGUGAGUAACGCGUGGAUAAUCUACCUACGAGAUGGGGAUAACUAUUAGAAAUAGUAGCUAAUACCGAAUAAAGUCAAUUAAGAUGUUAGUUGAUGAAAGGAAGCCUUUAAAGCUUCGCUUGUAGAUGAGUCUGCGUCUUAUUAGCUAGUUGGUGGGAUAAGAGCCUACCAAGGCUAUGAUAAGUAACCGGCCUGAGAGGGUGAUCGGUCACACUGGAACUGAGAUACGGUCCAGACUCCUACGGGAGGCAGCAGCUAAGAAUCUUCCGCAAUGGGCGAAAGCCUGACGGAGCGACACUGCGUGAACGAAGAAGGUCGAAAGAUUGUAAAGUUCUUUUAUAAGUGAGGAAUAAGCUUUGUAGGAAAUGACAAAGCGAUGACGUUAAUUUAUGAAUAAGCCCCGGCUAAUUACGUGCCAGCAGCCGCGGUAAUACGUAAGGGGCGAGCGUUGUUCGGGAUCAUUGGGCGUAAAGGGUGAGUAGGCGGAUAUGCAAGUCUAUGUGUAAAAUACCACAGCUCAACUGUGGAACUAUGCUGGAAACUGCAUGACUAGAGUCUGAUAGGGGAAGUUAGAAUUCCUGGUGUAAGGGUGGAAUCUGUUGAUAUCAGGAAGAAUACCAGAGGCGAAGGCGAACUUCUAGGUCAAGACUGACGCUGAGUCACGAAAGCGUAGGGAGCAAACAGGAUUAGAUACCCUGGUAGUCUACGCUGUAAACGAUGCACACUUGGUGUUAAUCGAAAGGUUAGUACCGAAGCUAACGUGUUAAGUGUGCCGCCUGGGGAGUAUGUUCGCAAGAAUGAAACUCAAAGGAAUUGACGGGGGCCCGCACAAGCGGUGGAGCAUGUGGUUUAAUUCGAUGAUACGCGAGGAACCUUACCAGGGCUUGACAUAUACAGGAUAUAGUUAGAGAUAACUAUUCCCCGUUUGGGGUCUGUAUACAGGUGCUGCAUGGUUGUCGUCAGCUCGUGCCGUGAGGUGUUGGGUUAAGUCCCGCAACAAGCGCAACCCUUGUUGUCUGUUACCAGCAUGUAAAGAUGGGGACUCAGACGAGACUGCCGGUGAUAAGCCGGAGGAAGGUGAGGAUGACGUCAAAUCAUCAUGGCCCUUAUGUCCUGGGCUACACACGUGCUACAAUGGCCUGUACAAAGCGAUGCGAAACAGUGAUGUGAAGCAAAACGCAGAAAGCAGGUCUCAGUCCAGAUUGAAGUCUGAAACUCGGCUUCAUGAAGUUGGAAUCGCUAGUAAUCGUAUAUCAGAAUGAUACGGUGAAUACGUUCUCGGGCCUUGUACACACCGCCCGUCACACCACCCGAGUUGAAGAUACCCGAAGCUAUUAUUCUAACCCGCAAGGGAGGAAGGUAUCUAAGGUAUGUUUAGUGAGGGGGGUGAAGUCGUAACAAGGUAGCCGUACUGGAAAGUGUGGCUGGAUCACCUCCA